rnacentral:lncRNA from 1 species
AGAGUUGUCUUUCUUGACAUAGGCCAGAGGCAUUGAUGUGCAGCAGGUUUCUUUAGUCAACCAUGACCUUCCCACCAACAGGGAAAACUAUAUCCACAGAAUCAGUCGAGAUGGAUGGUUUGGCCGUAAGGGUGUGGCUAUUAACAUGGUGACAGAAGAAGACAAGGGGACUUUUCAAAACAUCGAGAACUUCUACAACACUUCCAUUGAGGAAAUUCCCCUCAAUGUUCCUGACCUCAUCUGA